GCUCAGAUAGCUUAAAUGGUAGAGUAAAACACUGAAAAUGUUUGGGUUAUUAGUUCAAAUCUGAUUCUGAGCA
rnacentral:tRNA from 2 species